GACGAACGCUGGCGGCGUGCUUAACACAUGCAAGUCGAACGGAAAGUCCGUGCUUUUGUGGGGUGCUCGAGGGGCGAACGGGUGAGUAACACGUGAGUACCCUGCCCUUGACUUUGGGAUAUCUUCAGGAAACUGGGGCUAAUACCGGAUAGGAGCUCCUGCUGCAUGGUGGGGGUUGGAAAGUUUCGGCGGUUGGGGAUGGACUCGCGGUUGAUUAGCUUGGUGGUAGGGUAGUGUCUUACCAAGGCUUUGACGCAUAGCUGGCCUGAGAGGGUGACCGGCCACACUGGGACUGAGACACGGACCCGACUGCGACGGGAGGGAGCAGUAUGGAACAUUGUAGGAGGGGCGAAAGUCUGAUACAGCAAUGCCGCGGAAGUGAUGAUGGCCGUAGGGUUGUAAAGCUGCUUUAGCCGAGAUGUUAAUGGCAGUACCGGGAGAAUAAGCACCGGCUAACUACGUG
rnacentral:rRNA from 1 species